GACCAGCGACCAUCAACUGCGAUC
rnacentral:siRNA from 1 species